GGAUUGAAGGCUGAAAUUCGCCUUCAUGAAGCCGGAAUUGCUAGUAAUGGCAGGUCAGCAUACUGCCGUGAAUACGUUCCCGGGCCUUGUACACACCGCCCGUCACACCAUGAGAGUUGGGAAUACCCGAAGCCUGUGAGCUAACGAAAGAGGCAGCAGUCGAAGGUAGAAUCAAUGAUUGGGGUGAAGUCGUAACAAGGUAGC
rnacentral:rRNA from 1 species